GGCAGAAACAAGAGCUGGUUUUGGAGAGGGAGGACAGGAGAUGGCUGGAGACUGAGAUGGAGGCUCUCCGCUUUCAAGCGAGAGAAUUCAAAGGCAAAGCAGAGAGACUGGAGGCAGCUUUAUACAAGGAGUUGCAGAGCCAACAUUUUCACAAUGUCCCCAGAUCUCCAGUCAGCAGCUGUACUCCACAGACUCAUCUUCCCCUCACUCAGCACAAUGUGAAUGGCCUAAUGGAGCUUGGAGUCGGUGACCCCAUUGUGAAGCUGUGGCGUUUCAUAAGAUAGCUGCAUUGUGGGAUUGAUGAAAAGCAUGGACUAGACACUAACACAGGCUUUAGGAGGAGAUCUGAUGAAGACCACAAAUCUAGACAGUAAGAGCCUUAUUCAUGAGAUUAUGGAGCAAAGCACCUUAUGGAAGACCACAGUAUCAGACUCAAAGAAACCAAAGAUGCUGAAGUAACCGCAAUGCCGACCAGGAGAAUAACCAGUCACAAGUAAGAAGAGGGUGGACUUACAGGUUAUAUACAAGUAGUUUCAUGACACAGAAUGACAAUGUACAAAUGCUUGUCUGUUUUUGUUCUUCAUUGCUUUAAGCUUUGCUCAUGAAACUGCUGUGACUCAGUGAAGCUGUGUUGUAACAUUUAAGUGCUUCCCAGCACAUUUAAUGCAUGUGCUGCUUGUGUUGCAUGUGUGCCAUGAUGCAGCGAGCAAAGCUUUGGAACUGCUGAACCUGUUAAGUAGAAUUGCAACAGUGCUUUUUCAGCACACAGUAAGUCUUUGUGUUACUACUAUACACUGAUCAAUUACUGGAAACGCUUGAGAAACAACAGAUCCAUAUUAUGGGACAGAUGAAAAUGAAAAUUCUGGCAUCAAUAACUCACUCUCAUGUAAUUUUUAAACCUUUAUGACACAAAAGGAAAUGUUAGGCAGCAUGUUAGCCUCAGUCACCAUUCACUUUCUUUCUCCUCUUGUUGUAUGGAAAAAAUAAAUUCAUUGGGUUUCGAACGCCUUGAGGGUGAGUAAAUGAUGCCCGAACUUUUCUUUUGCGUUGAACUAUUCCUUUAAAAAUAUUCCAAACUUCACAAUACAGACUAUAUCAGUUUGUUUCUUCGUCUUUUUAAGAGAUAAAUAAUGUUAUAUGAAUGUUUAUAUCUCUUAUUUAACAGAUAAUAUAUUUGUUUUUAGAAUAGGCCAGACAUGCUUUUCCCAUUCUGCUCAUGCAGCAGGUCUCCAGUGCAUGCUCUCCUCACUUCUGAUCUUCCCGCUGAAAUAAAGUAUAGGCUGGAGACAGAGCACCCUGCCAUCACUAAACCGAUAUGUGAGAUGAACACCUUCACUUUACAGAAAACACAAGAACUGUUUUAUAAAUGAAACAGACAAACAUUGCCUACAGCAUAAUGUAUUUAACUGAGCCAAUUAUUUAAUUUCCCUACUGUUAUGUUGACCAUCACAGGAAGUAAUUUAUUGGUUACAUAGCUGGGGAUUUAUCUGAUCACGUUGGUCUUUUAUCAGCUGCAAACAACAAAGAGGAGCUCACAGAAGGACAGACAUCUAAGAAAAUAAUAACCUUGUG